rnacentral:rRNA from 1 species
ACCACCUGAACCCAUGCCGAACUCAGCAGUGAAACCGCUCAGCGCCGAUGGUAGUGUGGGGUCUCCCCAUGUGAGAGUAGGUCAUCGUCAGGC